CCGAACAAAUUAGUAUGACAUCAUCUGUUGUCUGUAUUGGAAUCAAUAGUGAAGAACAAAGUGAUUUUGAAUUAGUUUCUAAUGGCUUCCAAAAAUGGACAAUUUUUAAGAUUUUUGUACAUAAUUGAUUAAUCUUGAUUAAAAAUGCGUAUACUUGUGCAAUAUAUAUUUUUAUUGUCACUAAUAAUGAAUAAUCAUCAAGAUCAAAUCCAGUGAAAUGUUAUCAAAAGCUACUACAAUUGAUUUAGAAGAAAUUGAAAAUAUGACAUCAAAAGAGUGUAAUUUUACUCAACGGGCCCGAAAAGUUAUAUCAAAUGACACGAAAUCAACUUUGAUCGAUCUUCACAAUUUUGAAUUCCUUAUUGAACGCGAUACGUGCCAUGAAGUGAAACCAACUUUGUUAAUCAUGAUAGUUUCUGCUACGAAUCAUUUUCUCUUGGGCUAAAAAAAGUGAAGACGUCGCUGUGAUAUUUUUGCUAGGUUCGUCUGCCCAGCACAAUGAAGUGAUCAAAAAAGAAAACGAAGAAUUUGGAGAUAUUUUACAGGGCAAUUUUGAGGAUACUUAUAGAAAUUUAACCUACAAGCAUACAAUGGCACUCAAAUGGAUGACUUAUUAUUGUCCAGAUCAAGUAAAAUACAUUCUGAAGGUCGAUGAUGAUGUUUAUAUAAACGAAGAUAAAGUUUUGAACUUGUUGAAAAACUCUUACGCAGAUCUACUUAUGGAUUUAAUGAAGCGCGUCGAGCUGUACUCAGCACAGUUCAACAGCACAAACCAAACAAGAUAAAAAAGUGCAUGUCAUUUAUGUCCCACUAAAAUCAAUCGAAAGACGCGAACAUAGUGCAGCAAAUGUAUGAAAAAUGUUUGUGGAGAACAUUCCGAAAAAAUUGCGAUGUGUACGAACUGCACCAAAAAGCGACCGUAUGAAACUGCAUCAUCAGAUUCCAAUUAAUUUUGACAUAAAUUAUUUAUUUUCAUCCUUUUUUCAACAAAAAAAGAAAUAUAAUUUUGUUCAUUUCAUAGACUUUUCAUACAUUUUGUAUGAGCGGACCGACUAUAUCCGUUAAAGUUUUUUUUCACUCUAUACCUAGGAGGGUUAAUAACCAUAGCUUUUUAGCAGGGCCAUUCCAAUUGAGAGACAGAUAAAUCGAAGGACUUCACAAUUAUGUUGAGAAAAAGAAAAAAGCAGAAAAAAGUUCAUAAAUGAUUUUUAAAAUAUAUUAUUUCUACCACACUGAAUUCGUCAAAUU